rnacentral:lncRNA from 1 species
AAUUGAAAAGGUGGAGAGCAGGUGAUUGCUGGAUCCCUAAUGCUCAGCAAGGGGGACGCAUCCACAUAACGUGAGAACGAACGAAUGAAUGAACGCUGCAUAAAAGCAGCUUUGGCUUGGGGAAGACUGGUCAAACAAAUGGAUUUUACAGAGGCUUACGCGGACACGUGCUCUACAGUUGGACUUGCUGCCAGGGAAGGCAAUGUUAAAGUCUUAAGGAAACUGCUCAAAAAGGGCCGAAGUGUCGAUGUUGCUGAUAACAGGGGAUGGAUGCCAAUUCAUGAAGCAGCUUAUCACAACUCUGUAGAAUGUUUGCAAAUGUUAAUUAAUGCAGUUGUCCUGCCAUAUCCACAGGGAAUUGGUCCCAAAAUGUCCACGGACACCAAAAUUCAUGGAUGCUCCUCAAGUUCGGCAGUCUGCCCUGAAGAUAGGAAAACGUCCUAUACACACAUACAAAAGCUCGAUUAGGAUGAACCCCAGGCACUUAGCCUGUGCAGGAACAAUGGUGAGCCUCUAGCCCGACUGGG